CUUACUGCCGCGGGGACAGAGAAGAGACAGAGCCACGGUUAGCAUUCUGUGAAGUCUUUAAGAGAGACAGAAAUAUGCUCCUUUUACAUAUUAGAUGCUGGGAUAAGCUAAUUGCCGAAUCCAUCAACGUCGGUCUGCGACUGUUGUGAUGAGCUCCAACCAAAUCUACAGCCUGGUUUAGAGCUCUGCAACAACUUUAAUCCUUCUAAAGGCCUUGCAAAAAACGGGGCCUCUCCUAUCCUUAGGAGGUACAGAUGGCCAGCGUCAGGAAAGCAGUGUUAUCCAAAGGAAGAAGUCAAGGCAAAUGAUCCCAUUUCACAGGUCUCCUGGCACCUACAAGACACCGAAGCCUGGCCUUUCAACAGAUGGGGAGGCAGAGGCAGACAUGGUGCAGGGCCCAACCAGCAAGAGGAUGAAGUAUCUUUACAGCACAACUGGCUAAGAGGAAAAAAGUCUACAUUUAAAACAAAAUGAAACAAAAUAACAACCUCCUCACCCCACCUCUACCUUGCAGAAUUGUCCUGACAAAAAUGACCCACAGAAUUUAAAAGAAAAGUGAUGUUAUUGAAAUUACCACCAUAUGAGUUGCACUCUUUGGGACAUAUGUUUGCUCAGAUGUAGUCAACUUCAUUGUUCAGCCAUUGUGGAAACAAGGUGUGUUGGACUGAAUGUUUGUGUUCCCCUGAAGUUCAUAUGUUGAAGCCCUAACCCCCAAUGUGAUGCUAUAUGGAGGUGGGGACUUUAGGAGGUAAUUAUAUUCAGAUGAGAUCGUGAAGGUGGGGCUCCAUGAUGGGACUAGUGUCCUUACAGGAAGACAAAGAGACCAGAGCUCUCUCUCUGCCAAAUGAGGACACAGUAAGAAGAUAGCUGUCUGCAAGCCACGAAGAGGUCCUUCAUCAGAAUCCGACCAGUCUGGCACCAGGGUCUCACAUGUGCAGGCUCCAGACCUGAGAGAAAGAGAUUUCUUGCUGUUUAAGCCACCUAGUUGAUGACACUUUGUUAUGGCAGCCCGAGCUGACUAAAACAUAAGGUACUGAGGGUAAGAAAGCACAGUGUGGGCUCAUGGAAACCUAACAUGUUGAGCAUUGUGCUACAAUUCCAAGGACUCAUGGAACGUCCAGCGACCUCAGGAGCAGAUGCAUAUUUCUCAACCAGACACAUUAAGAAUAUGGGUUCUAGGGACUUCCCUGUUGGCACAGUGGUUAUGCCUGCCAAUGCAGGGGACACGAGUUCGAGCCCUGGUCCAGGAAGAUCCCACAUGCCGUGAAGCAACUAAGCCCAUGUGCCACAACUACUGAGCCUGCACUCUAGAGCCCACGGGCCACAACUACUGAGCCUACGUGCCACAAUUACUGAAGCCCACACGCCUAGAGCCCGUGCUCCCGAGCUCCACAACGAGAAGCCACCACGAUGAGAAGCCCACGCACCACAACAAAGAGUAGCGCUUGCUUGUCGCAACUAGAGAAAACCCGCACACAGCAACGAAGACCCAAUGCAGCCAAAAAUAAAUUUAUUAAAAAAAAAAAAAGAAUAUGGGUUCUAGAUUGGACCGCCAGAGUUCAAUCCUGCCUCUUCCACUGUCUGUCUAGAUCUGCAAAUGGAGUAAAAAAAUUACAUCAGAGGGACUUCCCUGGUGGUCCAGUGGUAAAGAAUACGCCUUACAACGCAGGGGACGCAGGUUCGAUCCCUGGUCGGGGAACUAAGAUCCCACAUGCCACGGGGCAACCACGCACCACAACUACUGAGCUCGCGUGCCUCAACUAGAGCCCACGUCCCGCAAACUACAGAGCCCACGUGCCACAACGAGAGAGAGAAAACCCGCACGCCACAACUAGAGAGAAGCCUGCACACCACAACUAAGAGCCCGCGUGCCACAACUAAGACGCGACGCAGCCAAAAAUAAAUUAAAUAAAUAAUAAAUAAAUCUUUUUCUUAAAAAAGAGAAAAAUUACAUUGGAGAGUAAGAUAUGUACCUGCCCACAGAUACUCAUUCUUCAGAAUCAUGAGAGUUCUUUGACUCGUGGAAACCACAAGUUAAAGAGUACAUUUCAGAUCCAACGAACUUAUUUAGAAACCUGAUCACCUCUGCUGCCUGAAAUAGGGAUAGUCUUGGAAGAAAAAACUAAUUAUCUGUAACAAGAUUGUAAAAGGGGAUCUUGAAGGAGAAAAUGGCUAAAGGGACUAGACAGAUUCCUAUAGGUUCUUGUUAUAAUUGAAACUCUAAAUUCUAUGAAGUUGAAUUAAAAAGCAAUAGAAGUUCAACUUUCCAGAACCUGGCCUGUUACCAACUUCCUUUGGUAUAAGAAAGGUUCUAUUUUUAUUUUUUUAGGAGAAAAGGGUAAAAUGGCAAGAGACGUAAUUGUGGGGAAAGUAAUUAAUCAUUCUCUUAAAUAUUAAAAAAAAAGAGGAAAAAAUUCCAAACAUUAACCCAUCUUUCAGUUCACUUUCCUAUAUGCUAAUCACUGAUGUUCAUAAUGAUUGCAGGCCUAGCAAAAGCCCUGAGGAUCAUAGGAAGAUUAAAUUUUACUCAUUAGACUGUAGCUAACAAGGCAGAAGAAUGUCCUUAUAUAUGUAACAAUGAUUUCCAAUAAUUUGCUCUGUGACCUUGGAAAAUUCACUUAACUGCUCUGGAGAAGCCCGCACACCGCAACGAAGACCCAACGCGGCCAAAAAUAAAUAAAAUUAAAUCUUAAAAAAAUAAAAUAAAAUGGUGGGAGAAUUCCAGAGGAGAUUUGGUUGAAGCAUUUCCAAGACUCAGAAAGAAAUAGUCUGUAACUCACAGAACUUGCCCAAAUCAAUCUGCAUCAGAAAAAUAAGUGUAGUGGUAUGAUUUUUUUUAAGAACAAAAUAAAAUACCUGAUAUAAUUCAUUAAUGCCCCAGAAAACAACAGAACAAAAUAAAAAUCAUAAGUAAGCAAAGCUCAUGCUUAUGGAAAAUGCUUUUGUUAGAUUGACAGAGUUUGUUUUUUGAUCAGUAGGUUUUUUCUUACUGUACUUAUUUUGAUGGGAGGUAACUGUGGUGGAUAGAGAAAUAACAGCUUGAAGUUUAUAUUGGCAACCUAAAUUAUCUCUCCUUAAAGGUGUUAAAAUGUUAUUCAUAUGAAUAAAUUUUAAAUUUAGACCUUCAGAGAUAAUUUUGACUGCUAAUUUGAAUCUUUUAGCUAAUCCUACAUACAUGGCAUAGAAAUUCUAUUAUUUUCUGCUUCUCAUAGCAGCUUGGAAACUGCACAACCUACUUGAGCAUUCUUUAGUCUUUAACAAGUAAGACUGGGAAUUGUGGAAUAAUCAGUAAUGGUUAUCUGCCUUUUCCUAUUUAAGAACAAUAAUGGUGCUCACUCAUCCUGAACAAGGGCAUUAAUUAAUCAUUGUAGCUAUGCAGGUUGAAGUCCCAAUGUUAUCAUCAUUGAAGCAUAACAGUAAUAUAAACUCCUGCUUAAGUGCUUUUGUUCUGUGAAAUAAAUCUUUGCAUUACAACCGUUCCUAAUCAUUUA